AGAGCGAACGCUGGCGGCAUGCUUAACACAUGCAAGUCGCACGGGCAGGGGCAACCCUGUCAGUGGCGGACGGGUGAGUAACGCGUAGGUAUCUAUCCUUGGGUGGGGGACAACUGUGGGAAACUACAGCUAAUACCGCAUGAUAACUGAGGUUUAAAGGCGCAAGUCGCCUGGGGAGGAGCCUGCGUACGAUUAGCUUGUUGGUGGGGUAAAGGCCUACCAAGGCGACGAUCGUUAGCUGGUCUGAGAGGAUGAUCAGCCACAUUGGGACUGAGACACGGCCCAAACUCCUACGGGAGGCAGCAGUGGGGAAUAUUGGACAAUGGGCGCAAGCCUGAUCCAGCAAUGCCGCGUGUGUGAAGAAGGUCUUCGGAUUGUAAAGCACUUUCGACGGGACGAUGAUGACGUACCGUAGAAGAAGCCCCGGCUAACUUCGUGCCAGCAGCCGC
rnacentral:rRNA from 1 species